rnacentral:rRNA from 1 species
CGUAACACGUGUGCAACCUGCCUUUAUCUGGGGGAUAGCCUUUCGAAGGAAGAUUAAUACUCCAUAAUAUAUUGAACGGCAUCGUUUAAUAUUGAAAGCUCCGGCGGAUAGAGAUGGGCACGCGCAAGAUUAGCUAGUUGGUGAGGUAACGGCUCACCAAGGCGAUGAUCUUUAGGGGGCCUGAGAGGGUGAUCCCCCACACUGGUACUGAGACACGGACCAG